GAUGAACGCUGGCGGCGUGCCUAAUACAUGCAAGUCGAGCGAACAGACGAGGAGCUUGCUCCUCUGACGUUAGCGGCGGACGGGUGAGUAACACGUGGAUAACCUACCUAUAAGACUGGGAUAACUUCGGGAAACCGGAGCUAAUACCGGAUAAUAUAUUGAACCGCAUGGUUCAAUAGUGAAAGACGGUUUUGCUGUCACUUAUAGAUGGAUCCGCGCCGCAUUAGCUAGUUGGUAAGGUAACGGCUUACCAAGGCAACGAUGCGUAGCCGACCUGAGAGGGGGAACGGCCACACUGGAACUGAGACACGGGCCGGACUCCUAAGGGAGGGAGCAGUAGGGAAUCUUCCGCAAUGGGCGAAAGCCUGACGGAGCAACGCCGGGGGAGUGAUGAAGGUCUUCGGAUCGGAAAACUCUGUUAUUAGGGAAAAACAAAUGUGGAAGGAACUGUGCACAGCUUGACGGUACCUAAUCAGAAAGGCACGGCUAACUACGUG
rnacentral:rRNA from 1 species